rnacentral:tRNA from 1 species
UUUAAUAUGGCAGAUUUAGUGCAUUGAAUUUAAAAUUCAAAUAUAAAAAUAUAUUUAUUUUUUAUUAAAA